UCUCAAUUCCAAACUUUGUCUC
rnacentral:piRNA from 1 species